UUUUAUUUAUUUUUUAUGCUUUGAUAUGGUCAAAUAUAUGCUUUUCGACCAUGUGUUGUCCAGGUUUACACAGAUUAAUUAGAUAGACUAAUGAUACUGAGGAAGCAUAGUAUCUAAUUUUUGGAAGAUAUCGCUACUCUUUCAGUUCAGUAUACUUUCCUUUGACUUCAAAAUCCUUUGCAUAAGUUAUCAUUCAUAUAGAUGGUGUUGAUUAACUAUUUGAUAUCAAUGUUGCUUUAGCUCACAAUCACCAUAGCCUGCUACAAUAUUUCAUCUGUUUUAAAUAAAUUUACCAGUGACUAUUAAUUGAUACAUUCAUUAAAAAAAUAAAAGAAAUGAAUACUGAUUGAUGCAGUGAUUUUGCUGUGCCACCUGUGAAUUUGUGUAUUAGAAGUAAUUUCUGUUAGUUUAAGUUACAAAAGGAAAGGUCUAUACCAGUGACUAUUAAUUUGUGUAUUCCAAAAACUGCAACUAGAAAUUGUCCUUGUCCCCCCACUUUUUCUUCAUCUUCUUUUUGGAUUUUCAUGUCAUUCAUUUUUGUUUUCUCUUCCUUGUUUAUUCUAUCACCAUGACUUGAUUACCAAGGUUCUGCUGUGUUUUCUCCUAUUACAUUUGCAGGAGGUUCUGCAUGUUUGAAACUUUUGUCCCUAAAAGGUGAUUUGAAACUUUUGUAUCAGUGGUGCAUUCAACUAUGAAAGCAAGUGAGUGAUUAUAGUUUGCCGCUACUGGUUAGUGAUUUCUAUAUCUUCAAAUUUUCUAAAUGUACAGUCCAUUUGCCAACACAUAAUUCAAUUUUAAUGAUUCAUUCACAUGAUCCUUUGUGAAUGUUAGUCCAAGAAUAUUUAGCUUUUGGUGCACUAAUAUAAUAAUUUUGGUCCAUAUAUUAGGUUCAUUAAUAUACCAAUGAGAGUAUUUAAAUAGAAUACACAUAACUGUUGCAUUAUGUGUUGAUUCUAUGAUACGCAUAAUCUUAUGGCUAGGUAGUUAGGCCUCUGUUUGCAUGGGUCGUGUCUUCAACUAGAUCAGUGUCUCCUCCAUUACAACUCCACCCCACCUUUGCUCUUGCAUCUUUGACUUCAAAUCUCUUCUUCUCAAUCUCUACGAUCAAAACCAAACUCACCGAUUUGAGCAAUUGCACCGGAAACCUGUCCCCAAAUGAGUAAUCCAAUGGUUGGCUCGGAGACCAAAAAAAUUAUAUGAAAGAGCGCUCCAGGGUUCUAUCUACGGAAAACCUGUCAGUUUUCUUGGUCUAAAAGGUCCAUAUAAUCAACGUGCUUGAAGAAACUAUUCCUUACAACAGAAGUAUAGAACAUUUCCAUCUUUACCUUUACUUAAUAUAUCUUAAAUAACAACUAGGAUACAUGCAAGCAAGUAAGCAACACAUUAAUUCUAUAAACAAAUUACAUUACAAUUACAAAAUUAAUUGGAUUAUUUUUUGCAAAAUAAAAUAUUCAUGUAAAACUUAUAAAAUAAUGAAAUGGAAGUGCAUUUUGUAACAUCCCAAAAUGCAUAGUGAAUUUUGUAACAUCCCAAAAUGGAAGUGCAUGUUUUACAACACAUUAAUUCUAUAAUAAAUUACAUUACAAUAGCAUAGUGAAUGAAAAGAAAUGUAAAAGGAGUUUGAAAAAUUGAAAAGAAAAAUGAAUUUUAACAAAAUAAAGAAAAUUACUUUUCUCACUUAAGAAAUUGCUCAUUCGCUACAUCAGCGGUAGUUAACUAUGCUUGCACUUUUAAGAUCAGUUGAACCGACUUAAAAAGCGAUUAAACCGAUCUUAAAAGUGUCGGCGACAGUUACUUGCUAUUGAAAAAUGUCGAGCGGUGUAGUGAAUGGGCAAUUUCAUAGGUGAGAAGAGUAAUUUUCCAAAAUAAAUAGGUCAUGCUUAAUUGCUUACCAAGGACAGUAGGUAAUACUCCCCUCAAAAAAUAAAAUAAAAGGACAGUAGGUAAUACUAUUGAAUUUUUGCACCCUCCUUCCUUUUUUCCAUCUCCGAAUACAACUUUGGACACUCACAUAUUCCCAUAAGUGUUCUUACAUUUUGCUUUAGCAUCGCAUCUAUGUAAGUUUCUUUUACAUUCGUCAAUGUUUGUAAGCCCAUAAAAUAAGUUACCAUGUUUUCAAGCAAUUAUAUUAGGCUAAAUUGAAUUUUCGGUCUCUUAACUAUUUAGGUAGUAUCACUUUGGUCUUUUAAUUAAAAUUCGAUUUAUUUUGGUCCCUUAACUUCUCUUCUUUACACAUUUUGGUCCUUUCCGUUAGUUUUAAAAAACGUUAGGUUUUCUUCAUCUUCUUCUCCUCUUUAAUUUUCAUCUUCAUAUCAUCUCCACCAACCUUCAAGAACAAGAAUCCCAAAAAAAUUUCAGAAGAAAAUGAAGAAAACCUAACGUUUUUGAAUUAAAACUAACGGAAAUGACCAUAAUAUAUAACGGAGAAAAGUUAAGAGACGAAAAUAAAUCGAAUUUUAAUUAAAGGACUAAAACGAUACUACAUAUAUAGUUAAGGGACCAAAAAUACAAUUUAACCAUUAUAUUACUAUACUAAAUAGAACUUUCAUGAUACACCCCGUUAUUAAAAUUAACCCUCACAUUUCCAGGUUUUCCCUUUAUAUUUACGUUUCAAGGUCUCAAGUUUGAUCCCUCAAUGCCAAUUUUGUGGGCUAAUCCAUAUAGAGAGUUUUAAAUUAGGCCGUCGCACACGGACGGUGGAAUUGAACCUUUAGUAUGUCAUUGAACCGAUACCAAGUUUUUAAAAAAGAACAAAAAUAAAUGUAAAUUGCCAAAAUUGGAAUAAAAAAAUUGACCUGUGCAGCCAUUGGGAUGAUAAGGAUUUCCUUCAAAACCUUGAUUGCAAUGGCAUCGCGGUAACCAAAAUAUGUGUCCUUGUCAUCACAAUAGCUAUUCUUCUUGCACCCAUAGUUGACUCCAUUCUUCUUGGAAGAAGCAGUACUGCAGUUUUCCUUGCUAAUGGUCCAGUCAAGAACCACCGGUAAUCUCUUGAAGGUAAACCUUGUGAUAAAUGAGUGGAUGAAAAAUCAUAGCUACCAUUCCUAACAACAAAUGAAUAGCUACAAAAUUUGGAUGAAGUGUUGAAAUUAGAAGCUUGUAUGCUUACAUUCCUCAUUUUAGGAUGAAUAUCAAUUUGGCAACACCCUACACCCGAACAUUUUCCAUCAUUUAUUUGAUCACCAAAAGUUCUUGUUAAGCACCCUGUUGAAUAUGCAAUAUCGUUACCACUGUAACUAUUAAAAUAACCGUAACUGUUACCAACGGUUACAAAUUUGUUUUCUUUGCUUGAAAUGGUAUAUGUACCACUGUUAAGCCCAACUUUAGUAUAAGUAUAAUUAUCAACACUGCAGUACUCAGAGACGUAAAAUAACACGUCGAUUUCAGCUUUGGUGGUGUUUAUGUUUGACACUUCCAAGUUAUCACCCAUGUAUAUUUUGGAUUCAUUGCAAUGGAGCUGAAUUAAUCUUCCGCCCACAAAACAAUCUGAAUUUGACGAAGUGUCGUUUAUGCCAAAUGGAUAUGGAAUUUCUUUAUCUCCACAAGUGUGACUGCAGGUAUUUAAUGGUGUUGAAUCAGCUGCAACUGUUCCUACCAAAUUCACCAUGGUUAAUGAAAGGAAAAUUUGUGAAGCGUGUCACGAUUUCGCAAUGCCGUGAGUUGUUUUGCAGAUUGUCCAAUGGUGACACGAUUUUGGGAAAACAUAACACGAUUUUUGGCUUGCUGAGUACAUUUUUCAAGAUAAGGUUGGUCAUACCUUGGGUUGUACGCACCAAACGUGUCACGAUUUGCGAAAACGUGACACGAUUUUGACAGCUGAAGACUCCUAUAUAAGUAUUCUUUGCAGAUUUUGAAUGAGAGAUUGAAGAGAGAGAAACUUGGGAAAUCAAAGGAGAUAACUUUAAGGUUGAGGGUCUUUGAUUAGAGUUCUCUUGGAUUGGGAAACAUUGUAAACACCUUGGGUGAGUGAAAAUCAUUGAGUGUCUUGUUCAUUGGUGAGAUUGGGAAAAUGGGUAGAAAUUAGGGUUGUUCUUUGUGAAUCUAUUGAAGCUAAAUUCUUGUAACUCAUUUGUAUCUCUUUGUAAGAACUCAUUGAUAGUGGAUUGGAGAGAUCAAUCUCUCCACCAGAUUAGGUCAAAUUGGACCAAACAAUCUUUGGUGUGUUUGUUUAUUUUCUCUCUUUAUCUUUUGCUUGUAGUUUUGUGCUUUUCACUUUGAUUACUAGAUUAGAUCUAGGUGUUGUUAUUAUUGUUGUUGCUUGUGUUUACUUUGAAAUUGGUUACGACUUUCCUUUACUCCACAGAUCAUAGUUUGUAUUGGUGUGAUAUUGAGUCCGAAUUCACAACAGUUAACGCAUACACAUGCUUCAUCUUCAC
rnacentral:lncRNA from 1 species